AUUGAACGCUGGCGGCAGGCCUAACACAUGCAAGUCGAACGAGUGGCGGACGGGUGAGUAAUGUCUGGGAAACUGCCCGAUGGAGGGGGAUAACUACUGGAAACGGUAGCUAAUACCGCAUACCAUCGGAUGUGCCCCGAUGGGAUUCGCUAGUAGGUGGGGUAACGGCUCACCUAGGCGACGAUCCCUCGCUGGUGUGAGAGGAUGACCAGCCAAAUGGGAACUGAGACACGGUCCAGACUCCUAAGGGAGGCAGCAGUGGGGAAUAUUGCACAAUGGGCGCAAGCAUGAUGCAGCCAUGCCGAGUGGAUGAAGAAGGCCUGCGGGUUGUAAAGUACUUUCAGCGAGUAGGCGUUACUCGCAGAAGAAGCACCGGCUAACUCCGUGCCAGCAGCCGCGGUAAUAC
rnacentral:rRNA from 1 species